rnacentral:tRNA from 1 species
GGGAUCGUAGCUCAACCUGGGACUGCUGGAGAAUUUAUCUUUCUUCAGGAGCAGGCAAGAGCACCACGCUGAAGACGUGGGUGUCGUGGGUUCAAAUCCCACCGAUCCCA